GGGGGCAGCCGGUCAGGAAGUCCAGGACCCAGUUGCACAGGGCGGGGUUUCAGACUCAGGACCCUGAGCUUAACGAUGAGCUCGGAGGGUACUAUGGUGUUGAAGGCUGAGCUAUAGUCAAUGAAAAGCUUGCCGAUGUAGGUAUUCCUCUUGUCCAGAUGGGACGGGGCAGUGUACAGGCGAUUGCAUUGUCUGUGAAUCUAUUGAGGCGGAGUGGUAUGCAAGCUGGAGUGGGUCAAGGGUGUCAGGUAGGGUGGAGGUGAUAUGGUCCUUGACUAGUCUCUCAAAGCACUUCAUGAUGACGGAUGUGAGUGCUACGGGGCGGUAGUCGUUUAGCUCAGUUACCUUAGCUUUCUUGGGAACAGGAACAAUGGUGGCCCUCUUGAAGCAUGUGGGAACAGCAGACUGGUAUAGGGAUUGAUUGAAUAUGUCCGUAAACACACCGGCCAGCUGGUCUGCGCAUGCUCUGAUGGCGCGGCUGGGGAUGCCGUCUGGGCCUGCAGCCUUGCGAGGGUUAACACGUUUAAAUGUCUUACUCACUUCGGCUGCAGUGAAGGAGAGACCGCAUGUUUCCGUUGCAGGCCGUGUCAGUGGCACUGUAUUGUCCUCAAAGCGGGCAAAAAAGUUAUUUAGUCUGCCUGGGAGCAAGACAUCCUGGUCCGUGACUGGGCUGGGUUUCUUCCUGUAGUCCGUGAUUGACUGUAGACCCUGUACCUCCUCUAACCACUAGGCUACCUGCUCUAACCACUAGGCUACCUGCUCUAACCACUAGGCUACCUGCUCUAACCACUAGGCUAACUGCUCUAACCAAUAGGCUACCUGUUCUAACCACUAGGCUACCUGCUCUAACCACUAGGCUACCUGCUCUAACCACACUAGGCUACCUGCUCUAACCACUAGGCUACCUGCUCUAACCACUAGGCUACCUGCUCUAACCACUAGGCUACCUGCUCUAACCAAUAGGCUACCUGUUCUAACCACUAGGCUA
ensembl:lncRNA